GCUUACGGCCAUACCAGCCCAAGAACGCCCGGUGCUCGUCUGAUCUCGGAAGCUAAGAAGGCUUGGGCCUGGUUAGUACUUGGAUGGGAGACCUCCUGGGAAUACCAGGUGCUGUAAGCU
ensembl:rRNA 5S_rRNA 5S ribosomal RNA